rfam:Rattus norvegicus chromosome 5, whole genome shotgun sequence.
GGUAAUAUAGCUUAGUGGUAGAGCAUUUGCCUAACAUUCAAAAAGGCCUGGGUUCAAUUCCCAGUACCAUCA